rnacentral:antisense_RNA from 1 species
GCCGGGAGCCACCCCAGCCCCGUGUGUGACUCUCAGAUCCCGAGGCUGGGCUCCUCCCCAGGGAGGCUGCAUGGCUGUGGCACAUACAGGAGGUAGGAGACAGAGGCCUCCACGGCGGAUGCUCGUGGCGUGAAGUCCACGUUGACCACGUUGUCGGUGCUGGGGGAGCGGAUGAAGGCCAGGGACCCGCGGCGCUCUCCCUGUGGUCGGGAAGCAGCCCGGAGGCCCUAAAACCCCAUUGGUCUCAUGUCCAGCACUGAAUCAGCCAGUGCCCGAGCCUGCUGCAGCCCCAACCCAGCAGAGCAAGUGGCUCUGCUACCUCAGCCACGUAGCUGAUGGCAUCCUUCAGGUUCAGCUCGUGGAAGACAUUCAGGAUCCGGUCUCGAGACUUCUGGGCCGACCGUCUCAUGAGGACCCUGCUGAGGAACUUCCUG